rnacentral:lncRNA from 1 species
UGGGGCAGACUUUAUUCAAAUCAGUGAAGUCGAUGCACAUACAUCAUUUUUCGUUCAUCUUCUUGACUAGCACCAUGUUAGCGAGCCAGUCAAGAUACAUUGCUUCUCAGAUGAAGCCGACCUUGACCAGCUUGUCCACCUCCUCAGCAAUUACUUUCUGAUGCUUUGGGGCAAAGCUUCUCUUCUUCUAUUUUAUAGGGUGGAAGGUCGGAUCCACUUCCAAGUGAUGAGUCAUCAUUUUUGGAUCUAUGCC